rnacentral:lncRNA from 10 species
GAAAUAUUGAACUGAAGAAAAAAUAUGAUCUCUUAUUUUCUUGAUUUUUUUAUAUUUAAACAAGAAACACAAUUAUUUUCAGUUGAAUACCAAAGCAGGAGAUUAUACCCUUAAACAGGAAAACAGUCACUAACUAUUAAGUCUCAACUCUCAAAUCUAUCUGAAGAAUAAGUAAGAAUUGACUAGCAAGGUGGUAGAAGACAUGAUGUUACAGGUGGGUCUUUGUUCUUAGAGCUCCCAAGAUGGGGGCGGGCUGUUCCCAAGAUGGCGGCAGGCCUUUUUUCUCUGACAUGGUGUUCUUGUCCUCACAAAUUCCAAAGAAUGGAACGUUGGGCCAUGCAGUGAGUGUUAUAGCUCUAUGAGAAGCCGUGGGUCACAGAAGAGAACUAUGGAACCCAGUGACUAGUGAUCAGCUUGAUUAGGAAGAACCCGGGCACUUAGCCAUGCAGGAACAAUGGCGAGCCUUUAUCCCUAUCUGGAGAUGCAAUGGGCCCCUUGCUGAGAUCAGGAGCCCAGCGGACACCCUGCCGGAUCCAGAGGGGUGGAAGUCAGCAGCGGGUCUGCGGCAGCGGCAAACAGCAGUGGUGGAUGGAUGCCAUCCAGAGAGUGUGCCCAGCAGAGCGUGUGGAUGAAGUUAGAAGAAAGAAUGGUGCUCAGGAAGGCCAAGAAAAAUCUUCAAAUUCUACUGCUGGUUCAUGUAGCUCCUAUAAUUUCCCAACCUUUUGUAUUUGCCAUUAUUCUUUAAGAAGCGUAAGUGAGACCAUUUUUUUUUCUGAGAACACCUGCACUUAAUAACCAAACUGCCUUAUUAAGUGGGAUGUGUAGCCUUGGAGAAGGUGAAAGCAAAAGAGUCAGAUAAUUGGUUCAUUGUUGAGAAACUUUUCCAUAAAUGCAAAUAGCCAGGAAACCUAAACACACAGUAAUGAUUUUUCUCAAAGUAAAAAUGCAACAGUGUAAAGCACUAACUGUGGUAUGACCAGAGUUAGCUUAUCAGAAACCUGAAAAAGUCAAAAUGCAACAGUGGUAAAGCAGCACCACAAAUAACUUCAACAUAGAAGUGAGUCUGAUAUAGUAGUUAACCCAGUUGGGUGAGCAGGGGACCACAAUCUAUAUAAUGUGGUCUCCCCUAUCAAAGGAUAAACAGGUCCCUCAAUUUUCUUUUUUAGUUUGCUUUCUGUUGCUUAUAACAGAAUGCCUGAAACUAGGUAAUUUCUUAAGAAAAGAAGCUUAUUUCUUACAGUUAUAGAGGCUGAGAAGUUUGAGGUCAAGAGGCCAAAUCUGGUAAGGGCCUUUUUGCUGAUGGGUACUCUGCUGAGUCCCUGCAGUACAGGUAUUCACAUGAUGAGAGGCUUGGACAUUCUGGUUCAGAUCUUUUCUUCCCGUUCUUAUACAGCCAUCAGUCCUACUCCCAUGAUAACCUAUUAAUCCAUUAACUCAUUAUUUCAUUAUUCUAUGAAUGGAUUAACCCAGUCAUGAGGGCUGAGCCCUCAUCAAUCACCUCUUAAUGGCCCCGCCACCUUGAUUACUAAAUUUCUACAUGAGUAUUGGAGGUAACAAAUAUUCAAAUUACAUCAUCCUACCCUGGGCCACCUAAAACUCAUAUCCUUCUCUCAUACAAAUGCAUUUAUUCCAAACCCAUAGCCCUAAAGUCUCAACUUGUUUCAUCACCAACUCAAAAGCCCACAGUCCAGAGUCUCAUCUGUGAGCCUGUGAAAUCAAAACAUCUUAUUUACCUCCAAGGUACAAUGGUUGUACAGGCAUAAGGUAGACAUCCCUAUUCCAAAAGAAAGAAAAGGCAAAAAGAAAGGUAAUAGGCCCCAAGCAAGUCCAAAACACUGUAGGACACAUAUUAAAUCUUAAAGCUGGAGAAUAAUAUAUUUGACACUGUGUACCACCUCCUGGAUAUACUGGGGUGGGGGUUAGGCUCCCAAGGACUCAGGCAGCCCCACCCCUAUGACUUUGCUGGGUGAAGUGUAUAUGUCUACUCACAAGUGUUGAAGUCCAGUGCCUGAAGUUUUCCUAGGCAAGUCUGGCAUGCUGCCAGUGAUUCCACAGUUUCGUGGUUCCAGUGGCAGUCCCAUUCCCAGGGCUCGUAGGCUUUGCCUUAGUAGGGACUCACUGUCGUGACCUCAAAUAAUAAAAGUUGUACCCUGAAGGAAAAAAAAAUUCUGUUGUUUGGACCAUGCAUCAAUCAUUUUUCAUUCCAUUUGCCACAUUACAGGUAGUCUCAUUCAAAUGCAAAAGAGGCUGUCCUAUAAGCGUAAAAUGAAAACCUAAAGGUAAUUGCAUAGCUUCAAAAUGAGCAAAAAAAUAACCCACAGACUAAGUACCCACUGUCAUCUCCCAAAGAUCAUUUCUCCAGUUAUUGACUGGUUUAAAAUCACACUAUUAUAAAUAUGAACACGUAAGGAAGGCAAAUUAUUGUGGUCACAUACAGGUAGAAGAACAAAGGAUGAAGAACAAAGAAAGAAACAAUAUUCAUAGAUAAAAUAUAGAGAGAUGACGAUGACUUAUUUACAUAGUAGCAAGUGUUUGUUUUAAAUAUAUAUAUACUCACACACAUAUAAACAUAUAUAUAUACACACAUGAAUAUAACUUGAUGAUUUUAUUUCUGAAAAUGUGGAUACAUAGUAAAUAAUUGGAAAAAAAAUUAAAACAGAUUUAAUUUUCCCAGCCAUCCUGAUUUUUUCUUUUAUUGAAUGCAAUGGAGAGUAACAUGAAUACUUUCAGAAUGAGAUAAAUAUAGGUAAUGCAUUUAAUAACAUGUACUAUCUUAAACAUCAACUGUUAUAAAAAUUAACUGGACUCCAUAGAAAAUAAGCUUUGUUACUAAUACAAAUGUGUUCUAUGAUCUCUUUAUUAAAAACUUUCCA